UCUACGGGAGGCAGCAGUGGGGAAUAUUGCGCAAUGGGCGAAAGCCUGACGCAGCGACGCCGCGUGAGGGAUGAAGGUCUUCGGAUCGUAAACCUCUGUCAGUAGGGAAGAACGGUCACUGUGCUAAUCAGCAGUGAAUUGACGGUACCUGCAAAGGAAGCACCGGCUAACUCCGUGCCAGCCGCCGCGGUGAUACGGAGGGUGCGAGCGUUAAUCGGAAUUGCUGGGCGUAAAGCGCGCGUAGGCGGUAUGUCAAGUCAAGGGUGAAAUCCCCGGGCUCAACGUGGGAACUGCCUUUGAAACUGGCAAACUGGAGUGUGUGAGAGGAAAGUGGAAUUCCAGGUGUAGGAGUGAAAUCCGUAGAUAUCUGGAGGAACAUCAGUGGCGAAGGCGACUAUCUGGCACAUAACUGACGCUGAGGAGCGAAAGCGUGGGUAGCAAACAGGAUUAGAUACCCCAGUAGUC
rnacentral:rRNA from 1 species